GCUAAUACCGCAUAACGUCGCAAGACCAAAGAGGGGGACCUUCGGGCCUCUUGCCAUCGGAUGUGCCCAGAUGGGAUUAGCUUGUUGGUGAGGUAACGGCUCACCAAGGCGACGAUCCCUAGCUGGUCUGAGAGGAUGACCAGCCACACUGGAACUGAGACACGGUCCAGACUCCUACGGGAGGCAGCAGUGGGGAAUAUUGCACAAUGGGCGCAAGCCUGAUGCAGCCAUGCCGCGUGUAUGAAGAAGGCCUUCGGGUUGUAAAGUACUUUCAGCGGGGAGGAAGGGAAAAUGGUUAAUAACCAUUUUCAUUGACGUUACCCGCAGAAGAAGCACCGGCUAACUCCGUGCCAGCAGCCGCGGUAAUACGGAGGGUGCAAGCGUUAAUCGGAAUUACUGGGCGUAAAGCGCACGCAGGCGGUCUGUCAAGUCGGAUGUGAAAUCCCCGGGCUCAACCUGGGAACUGCAUUCGAAACUGGCAGGCUUGAGUCUUGUAGAGGGGGGUAGAAUUCCAGGUGUAGCGGUGAAAUGCGUAGAGAUCUGGAGGAAUACCGGUGGCGAAGGCGGCCCCCUGGACAAAGACUGACGCUCAGGUGCGAAAGCGUGGGG
rnacentral:rRNA from 1 species